rnacentral:rRNA from 1 species
AGAGCGAACGCUGGCGGCGUGCUUAACACAUGCAAGUCGAGCGGAAAGGCCCUUCGGGGUACUCGAGCGGCGAACGGGUGAGUAACACGUGAGCAACCUGCCCUUAGCUUCGGGAUAGCUCCGGGAAACCGGAAUUAAUACCGGAUAUGACUAUGGCCGACAUCAGCCAUGGUGGAAAGUUUUUCGGCUAGGGAUGGACUCGCGGCCUAUCAGCUAGUUGGCGAGGUAACGGCUCACCAAGGCGACGACGGGUAGCCGGCCUGAGAGGGCGACCGGCCACACUGGGACUGAGACACGGCCCAGACUCCUACGGGAGGCAGCAGUGGGGAAUAUUGCGCAAUGGGCGAAAGCCUGACGCAGCGACGCCGCGUGGGGGAUGAAUGCCUUCGGGUUGUAAACCCUUUCAGCAGGGACGAAGCGAAAGUGACGGUACCUGCAGAAGAAGCGCCGGCUAACUACGUGCCAGCAGCCGC